rnacentral:lncRNA from 1 species
GUUUAGAAUAUCCAGUGAACUGAAUACCCAAAAGCAGAUUAUCCUUUCCCUCCCUGAUGGAUAGAUGUUUCAUAUGCACUUAUGCAAUGUUCAUCCUAAAACAGCAAACCCCUCUGGUCAGCGUCUCACAUGACAAAAGAGGCAGUGGGAGGAAGGUCAGCUGCUGGAAGCCAGUGUGCGAACCGCGACUACACACCGAUGACUACCCACGGUCAGUUUCUCUGCAGCCACUGUGGGUGCGUUUGUUUGAGGCAAAGUUAAAGAUACUGCUGGAAACACAGAUGAACAACAUGGCAACCGAACUGGAUUUGGUACUCACGACCCAUUGACCCAGAAAACAAAUCACCCACGUGGCUGGCUUAGCACUUAGACCAACAAAUAAGAACUUUACUCCUCUGGCUUGAUGAGUGAGCUCUUCACACCAACUGUUCUUAACACCAUUCUGAAUGUCCUUGUCCCACCAGUAUAAAACUGGACUAAGGAAUUUAACAGUACUUUACUUCCUGGCCAUUUUGCUUAACAAUAAUCCUUUCUACCUAUGUAUAAAAGCAUUUUGCUGGGCUGGGGAUUUAGCUCAGUGGUUUGGUGGCCUGCCUUGCAAGCGCAAAAACCCGAGUUCAAUCCCCAGUACCAAAAUAACAAAAGCAUUUUGCUUCAGAGGUUCCCAUAUUCUGUCAAUACAAACUGCUGUACCUUUUAACUUCUGCUAGUGUUAUGUAAAGUCAGCUUCUUCUGAGCCACCGGUUAAAACUUCUAAAUCUGGAAUUGUGGUUUACCAACUCCACAUUAUCAUUUCUUCCCACUGACUGGAGGAGCUGUAGUGCAGAGCAGAGUGAUAGCUGACACUGUUACCUCUUCCCUGUCACUCACUUCAUGCCAAGUGGCAAGAGCCAGCUGUAUUCUGAAGCCUUUACAAUCCAGCUUAAGGCCUAGCUUUUGGACAAGACUUUUUUUUUAAUAGGUAGCAGAUUCAUAUUUUUAUCUACAAUUGCACCAUAUGCGUGUUUUGGCUGCAUUAUCACGUUGAAUCCUCAUGGUAAUUUCUGUGAUAUAAGAUUAAAAUGACUGAGAUACAGUCUUUACUAUAACUGCGAACCACAAGUUAGGCCUGGGUAAUAUGACACAGUGCUCUUGCUCUUCGCCACUUGGCUCAUAUGUUUCUCCAAGAGUUGCCUUUCUACAAUUAAGAUUAUAGAUAUUUUUAGAUAUGUUAUAAGAAUGAAUUCCAAGAGCAUAAUUGCCCAAAAUGGAUGCUUUGUAUUAGUGUCCUGAAGAUAGAGUUAGAGAUCACAGGCAUGUACAUUAACAAGUUGGUACAAAGGAACAGAUAAUAUGGUAAUAAGACUUUUUCUGCCUUUUUGUGCAUUCAGCCAUUCUUGCACCACAUAAUUGCUGAGUGUUCUUUUACUUCCCCACCAUAGUCAAAAGAGUCUGUGGAGCUACUUGAAUACAUAGGAUAACAGUUUAUUUU